UCUAUUCUAUUAUUUUGACGGACAAGCACAGCUUCUUCUCUCUUCCUCUUUCUUCAUUCUUCUUCUCCCUUUCUCGACUUUGUACGAAUAAUAGCAAAUUCUCAUCAUCAUCAUCAUCAUCAUCAUCAAUCUCCGAUCAUCUUCCGUUCAUCUGCUUUCCAUGGUCUUCUCCCCGAUUCUCAGAUGAAAUCUAUUGAAACCCCGAUCCCAGUCAAUCUCUUCUUCUUCUUCAGGGAUUACUACGACGAAAUCGCACCAAGCUGAUGUAGAAUAAUCGCAUAGUCCCAAGUUUGAUAUGGAAAUCGAUUCUGUAAAAAAUCAACCAUCCUCGAUCGGAAAUGAAUGGAAUAUGCUGCAAAUUGCAACGGUUAGGUCUAGUUAUAUCUCUUGGGAGGUAAACUCAGGAACAUUUACAUGGUCAAAUCAUAGUCUGUCACAGGUUACACUCUCUAAAACAAAUACUUGUGCUUACAACCAAAAUCCUACGCUCCAAUCCCUAACAAUUUAAUCCUUCACACAUUUUACUGACAACAAAUUUAGAGGAUGAAGACUCCCUUCCAUCUUCUUACGAAGCAACCUCUUCAGCAUUUCUUUGUCUGCUGACUGAGCGAGCACAAAUGUUUCUUCUUAACUCCUGAUGACCACCAUAUCCUGAGUAAAACAGCCAGACAGCUUUUCUCUCAUCCAUGUUGCAUUGGAUGAUCAUGCGAAUAUGGUGGGUCUCCAUCUGAUCAUUUACAACAAGUAUACCAGAUCAAACCAAAUUAUAUGAAUUUAAGAAGAAGAAGAUGCAUACAAUCAAGGUUUGAGAAGGAAGACCCAUAAUUAAACCUAUUCAUGUAUUUACAGGUCAUAAUUGAAGCUUGCAGUCACAAGUCGAGAAAGCGUGUGUUAACCAACCCUCUUAUUAUUAUUUCUAGGAUUAAAACUGUAAUGAUUCUUGAUAUUGUUAUCAUCAGGCCACAAAAAUUUAAUGGUGAGUAAACUAUUAUUCUGA